rnacentral:rRNA from 1 species
GAGUUUGAUCAUGGCUCAGAUUGAACGCUGGCGGCAGGCCUAACACAUGCAAGUCGAGCGGAAACGAGUUAUCUGAACCUUCGGGGAACGAUAACGGCGUCGAGCGGCGGACGGGUGAGUAAUGCCUAGGAAAUUGCCCUGAUGUGGGGGAUAACCAUUGGAAACAAUGGCUAAUACCGCAUGAUGCCUACGGGCCAAAGAGGGGGACCUUCGGGCCUCUCGCGUCAGGAUAUGCCUAGGUGGGAUUAGCUAGUUGGUGAGGUAAGGGCUCACCAAGGCGACGAUCCCUAGCUGGUCUGAGAGGAUGAUCAGCCACACUGGAACUGAGACACGGUCCAGACUCCUACGGGAGGCAGCAGUGGGGAAUAUUGCACAAUGGGCGCAAGCCUGAUGCAGCCAUGCCGCGUGUGUGAAGAAGGCCUUCGGGUUGUAAAGUACUUUCAGUCGUGAGGAAGGUGGUGUAGUUAAUAGCUGCAUUAUUUGACGUUAGCGACAGAAGAAGCACCGGCUAACUCCGUGCCAGCAGCCGCGGUAAUACGGAGGGUGCGAGCGUUAAUCGGAAUUACUGGGCGUAAAGCGCAUGCAGGUGGUUUGUUAAGUCAGAUGUGAAAGCCCGGGGCUCAACCUCGGAAUAGCAUUUGAAACUGGCAGACUAGAGUACUGUAGAGGGGGGUAGAAUUUCAGGUGUAGCGGUGAAAUGCGUAGAGAUCUGAAGGAAUACCGGUGGCGAAGGCGGCCCCCUGGACAGAUACUGACACUCAGAUGCGAAAGCGUGGGGAGCAAACAGGAUUAGAUACCCUGGUAGUCCACGCCGUAAACGAUGUCUACUUGGAGGUUGUGGCCUUGAGCCGUGGCUUUCGGAGCUAACGCGUUAAGUAGACCGCCUGGGGAGUACGGUCGCAAGAUUAAAACUCAAAUGAAUUGACGGGGGCCCGCACAAGCGGUGGAGCAUGUGGUUUAAUUCGAUGCAACGCGAAGAACCUUACCUACUCUUGACAUCCAGAGAACUUUCCAGAGAUGGAUUGGUGCCUUCGGGAACUCUGAGACAGGUGCUGCAUGGCUGUCGUCAGCUCGUGUUGUGAAAUGUUGGGUUAAGUCCCGCAACGAGCGCAACCCUUAUCCUUGUUUGCCAGCGAGUAAUGUCGGGAACUCCAGGGAGACUGCCGGUGAUAAACCGGAGGAAGGUGGGGACGACGUCAAGUCAUCAUGGCCCUUACGAGUAGGGCUACACACGUGCUACAAUGGCGCAUACAGAGGGCAGCCAACUUGCGAAAGUGAGCGAAUCCCAAAAAGUGCGUCGUAGUCCGGAUUGGAGUCUGCAACUCGACUCCAUGAAGUCGGAAUCGCUAGUAAUCGUGGAUCAGAAUGCCACGGUGAAUACGUUCCCGGGCCUUGUACACACCGCCCGUCACACCAUGGGAGUGGGCUGCAAAAGAAGUAGGUAGUUU